ensembl:lncRNA
CCAGAAACCGGGAAAGGGAAUAACAAUCAAAAUGUAAAUAAGAAAUACCCAAGUUAAUAAACACGAAAAAAAGGAUUUAAUGUAAACUUUACACCUGUAUUAAUACACAAAAUACCAAUGUAACAAAAUACAAUUUUUCAACAAAGUUUAAAGGUCUCUACCAAUGUAAGAUUAUAAGUAUAAAAUUUUUCGGUUUAAGUGUAGGUUUAAUAAUCUACCCCAAUUAUCUAAUUUCUUACAAUAUUUCUGUGUCCUUAUUUUUUCUUCUCCACCCGCUUCCCUUUAGGAAAGAAGGAAGUAUGUAGGAGAGGAAAGGGAAGAGAGAAUUGCCUGAGGCCAGGCUCCCUGUUUCAUUUUCUCCACUUUCAAUCAUCCUCUAAAAUGACAGCAUAUCUAUAACUCAUAAAAUGACCAGAACCAUUUACCCCCAGCUUAAGGGCCUGAGAUGAUGGUCUUCUGAUAAUUGCAAAAAAUUCCUUUUUAGGGUCCAAGAACAUUAAAAAUUGGUUAAUCUUAUGAAAGCUAACUGUAGCUGGAUUUGUUGUCCAAUCUCUGUGUGUUGAGAAAGUUUAGGGUUUAAUUAAAGUCCUGACUGGACCAGUCUAAAAGGCAUUCCUUCCUGAAACCGUUGUAGAUGCAAUUCUCUGGAAACAGCAUCAGUUUGGGGCAGGAUCAGUCAGGGAGCUGGAACGGCAGGUCUCAGUACCUCAGCAUCUCUGAAGGUAAAUCCUGUCAAGGUUGCCCUCCUGGUCUUCUAUGCUUUAUUCUGUAAACCUUACAAGCAACACAUAGAGCCAGGUGGGAGAUUCACCGGAAGAUGCAGAGAGCACCUGUGCUUUGGCCAAGUCCCUUCUGCUGUGUGAACAAGUCCUGUGAGAAGGCCUGUUCUGCUGGUCUGGAAAGACAAAGGCUGGGGGCCUAGCAUGGCGAGAUGUGAGGUCACAGUGCAUCGUCUCCAAAGGUCAUUCGAUUCUUCUGCUUUGAACUCAAGGCUUUCAAGCAACCACUGCAUGGGGCCUUCGUGGCUGUUCUUUCUCUCUUUUUCUCUCUUGUAAGCCAAGGAAGAAGAGCCUCAGCAGGGGCGAGAUAUUUAGGGUUGCGGUUGGAUAGUAAAAUGUUUACCUUUCUAAGUCUCAGGCACUUUGCUGAGGUAGCUGACCUGCCUUUUGAGUUCUUCUGAAGCCAGAAACUGUAGUCUCUGGCGUUUAGCACCUCAGAGCAAAGCAGGGUGAUUGAGUAAUGCAGCCUUUGUUCUGUCUUUACAGAAACUGCUCAGCUCUAGCUGCCAGCAUGCUAGUUGAAGUCACAGGAAGAACAAUGGACAUGUUCAAAAGUUAUUUUAGCUUUUAUUCCUAAGUUCCUUAGUUCUCCACCAUGUUUCUACAAAAAUUCUCCUUUCAAAAAUUCUAAAGACUCUCCAAAAUGUUCUCUAAGAAAGUUUUCUCUUGAUCUCUGAAAAGGUCUCUCUGCUCUUUUCUUCUCCUCAUCUUGCUCCUUCUGCCUGCUCUGAUGCUCCAGUCAUAAUGCUCUCACUCCCACUGCUAUGCCUUUCCUUCUCAGUUCUUCUUGAGUUCUGUAAGAAAAAGGGAUCCCUUCUUUUCGUCCUCAGCACUUAUACGUGUUUCUCAAUACGUGAUAACAUCGUAAGAAGUUCACAAGUUUACAUAUAAAUUCAAACCAUAUAUUGAGUAAGUUCAGAGCGGAAUGUUUACAUGCAUAUCCAUUAGGAGUACUUACCUAGCCCAAUGUUAUCUGUCACAAGCUCAGCAGGUUCAUUGAAAGUUAAAAUCCAUCAUUCUGUAACUAAGUCAUUAGUGAUGUUUCAUGUAGAUCAACCCAGUCAGCAUUUUAAAACCUUCUGUCCUUGCACCUAUAGUAAAUUGUUUGUUCCCUUUUGUUUGCAC